rnacentral:lncRNA from 1 species
GCCAAUUAAGGUCUCAGAGGUUCAUAAUUGAGAUAUUUGAUUAUAUGAUUCAGUGGUUGAGGCAAAGUGAUUUUGAAUUCAAAGUCCAUAUCAUGCUUGCUGAAUGAGAAGCAACCAUUAAUGGCAUUAUUAAGAGCUAACCAUAGUUUCUUUUAUCUUUUUCUUUACAAUUAACCAUUUGUAUAGGAGAAAGAGUAUGAAAUUAGCCCUCUUCACCAGAUGUGACAG